GACGAACGCUGGCGGCGUGCUUAACACAUGCAAGUCGAGCAGUAAGGGCCCUUUCGGGGGUACACGAGCGGCGAACGGGUGAGUAACACGUGGGUGACCUGCCCUUAGCUCUGGGAUAAGCCUGGGAAACUGGGGUCUAAUACCGGAUAUGACCUCAUGACGCAUGUUGUGGGGUGGAAAGCCUUGUGCGGCUAGGGAUGGGGCCCGCGGCCUAUCAGCUUGUUGGUGGGGUGANGGCCUACCAAGGCGACGACGGGUAGCCGGCCUGAGAGGGCGACCGGCCACACUGGGACUGAGACACGGCCCAGACUCCUACGGGAGGCAGCAGUGGGGAAUCUUGCGCAAUGGGCGAAAGCCUGACGCAGCGACGCCGACGUGAGGGAU
rnacentral:rRNA from 1 species